UACAGAGGGUGCAAGCGUUGUUCGGAAUCAUUGGGCGUAAAGCGCACGUAGGCGGCUUAUUAAGUCGGGUGUGAAAUCCCUGGGCUCAACCUAGGACGUGCACCUGAAACUGGUAGCUUGAGUCUCGGAGAGGUUGGUGGAAUUCCCAGUGUAGAGGUGAAAUUCGUAGAUAUUGGGAGGAACACCGGUGGCGAAGGCGGCCAACUGGACGAAGACUGACGCUGAGGUGCGAAAGCGUGGGGAGUCAAACAGG
rnacentral:rRNA from 1 species